rnacentral:rRNA from 1 species
GACAGAGGUGCCGAGCGUUUAGGCGGAAUCACUGGGCUUAAAGCGUGUGUAGGCGGGUCGUUAAGUGCCUUGUGAAAUCCCACAGCUCACCUGUGGAACUGCUUGGCAUACUGGCGAUCUUGAGCCACUUAGGGGCGACCGGAACAAAUGGUGGAGCGGUGAAAUGCGCAGAUAUCAUUUGGAACGCCAAUGGUGAAAACAGGUCGCUGGGAGUGUGCUGACGCUGAGACACGAAAGCCAGGGGAGCAAACGGGG